ACACUGCCGAGGAGCCCCACAAUAGGACGAAACGGCCUUCCAGUGU
rnacentral:hammerhead_ribozyme from 1 species